rnacentral:rRNA from 1 species
AUUGAACGCUGGCGGCAGGCCUAACACAUGCAAGUCGAGCGGUAGCACAGAGAGCUUGCUCUCGGGUGACGAGCGGCGGACGGGUGAGUAAUGUCUGGGAAACUGCCUGAUGGAGGGGGAUAACUACUGGAAACGGUAGCUAAUACCGCAUAACGUCGCAAGACCAAAGAGGGGGACCUUCGGGCCUCUUGCCAUCGGAUGUGCCCAGAUGGGAUUAGCUAGUAGGUGAGGUAAAGGCUCACCUAGGCGACGAUCCCUAGCUGGUCUGAGAGGAUGACCAGCCACACUGGAACUGAGACACGGUCCAGACUCCUACGGGAGGCAGCAGUGGGGAAUAUUGCACAAUGGGCGCAAGCCUGAUGCAGCCAUGCCGCGUGUAUGAAGAAGGCCUUCGGGUUGUAAAGUACUUUCAGCGGGGAGGAAGGUGUUGUGGUUAAUAACCGCAGCAAUUGACGUUACCCGCAGAAGAAGCACCGGCUAACUCCGUGCCAGCAGCCGCCGUAA